rnacentral:rRNA from 1 species
CCUACGGGAUGCAGCAGUGAGGAAUAUUGGUCAAUGGACGAGAGUCUGAACCAGCCAAGUAGCGUGAAGGAUGACUGCCCUAUGGGUUGUAAACUUCUUUUAUAUGGGAAUAAAACGUUCCACGUGUGGGAUUUUGUAUGUACCAUAUGAAUAAGGAUCGGCUAACUCCGUGCCAGCAGCCGCGGUAAUACGGAGGAUCCGAGCGUUAUCCGGAUUUAUUGGGUUUAAAGGGAGCGUAGGUGGAUUGUUAAGUCAGUUGUGAAAGUUUGCGGCUCAACCGUAAAAUUGCAGUUGAAACUGGCAGUCUUGAGUACAGUAGAGGUGGGCGGAAUUCGUGGUGUAGCGGUGAAAUGCUUAGAUAGCACGAAGAACUCCGAUUGCGAAGGCAGUUCACUGGACUGCAACUGACACUGAGGCUCGACAGUGUGGGUAUCAAACAGGAUUAGAGACCCCUGUAGUC